rnacentral:rRNA from 1 species
UGGGUUGAACUACGCAGGAAAAGCCGCAGAGAUGCAGUGUCCGCAAGGGCCUGCGAU